CAUCUUUAUUGUAUAAAUCAUUAACAAUAAUCUGGUAUAAAUAGGAUUAUUUUAAGACACUUUUUCAGUCAACAGAAUUCCUGAAACUUUACAAUGACCAAAUACAUACAUUUAUAUUUGUUUAUUAACAACUUAAAAGUGUGAGAUUAAGAGUAACUUGAAUUUGAUACAACUAAAAAUGUAUAUGAAAUCACUAAUCACUUCAUCAAGGAAGAUAGCUCAUUCUUUACAACUUUAUCAAUUCAAAAUUAAAAGUAUUAAAACCACUUAUCACUGAAAUGUGAGACGUUUGAAGCCUUUAAUAUACUUUCAUCAGCCCGGUAGACAAUGCUUUGGGAAUGACAUGAUUGAUAGCAUACCUUACAUAAAUUCUCCAGUGAUACAUUUAGAAAUUGGAAGUUUUUUGAUAUUCUAUUCAGGUCCUUUUUGGUAAUAUUCAUCCUCAAGUGUUCAAGUACUAAGCUUUCAAUCUUCUUUUGGUUUUAGCAUUCCUAAUGGAGAUAAAUCCAGAGACUUAGAAAGCAUCAAAUUUUAAAAAGUGGGGGUUUUUUUUUUCAUUUUAAAGCAAAUACACAAGACAAUUUAAAAAUAAAUUUUUUGCUCAACUCACAAAUAUUGAUAUCCACAAAAUAAAAUAAUUUCACAGUAAUCAAUUAUCAUAAUAUUUUAUUUACAAAUUUAAUCAUUUUAAGGACUAGAAUAUUUAAAUUGUUUUAUAGAAGUUCUGAUAAUUACACUAGUAAUAAAUUACAGAAAAAAUAGUAUAAUUAAAGAAUAUUUACUGCAUAGACAAUUAAAAAACUGCAAAGCAUGAACAUAUUCCAAAUAUUAAACUGGUUUGAAUUCCAAAUAAAAUAGUUACAACAAUUAUUUCCCAAGAUUAUGCCACUUAAUAAAUGGACUUAAUCAUCUUUAUUAUGUAUUUAAACAAUAAAAAAAAUCAAAUAUCUUACUCAAAGAUAACAAUAUCCAAGUUGUACUGUAGGGUAAUUAAGUAAAUAUAUAUAUAUACAAAUCGGUCUUACAUUUUAUUGAAGAAUAAAAAAGGUCUAUACAUUUAAAUAAAAUUUCUGAUGAUUUUAUUUUAUUUUGUUUGGGUAACAGUCAUCACAGGAUAAUAACUUCAUGUUAACUGUUUUGUAACUUUAUAUAAUAUCAACUAUGUUCUCCCAAUCUUUCAGACUCUGUACAAACCUAUAUUUCUUUGUGCCCAAAAAAGAUAUUUCAUUCAUAUUCAUGUUGAGACAAAGGUUAUGUUUGCUAAAUAAUGUUUUAGUCUGGUAACCAUAAACACACAUUGUGUUUUUAUUUCCUUAAUUGUUUAAAAGUCUGUAGGUUACCUCAACCUAAUGAUAAUUUAUCACAUGCAGAUUAUUCACUUGACAAAGAGAUAAGUAAAUAAAAAAAGAUGAAAUCUCUGAUUAAUCAAGUUUGGAAUAAAGUUGUUUUUGUUUAAUUCAUAACCAGUUGUUACUUUCUCAGACAUCUAAACUUUCAACUAAACUUUUCCUUUAACAACAUGAAAAUGGAAGGAUAACUGCAUGUAAGCCUUUUUUCUAAACAAAACUGAUAUCUUAAAGGAUUGAUAACAACUUUUAGUUCUAUUAAUAGAGCCAAUAAAAUAUUGUUGUUUUCAUUUUGAGUAUUUGUUAUAAUGAUAAUUGUCUGACAUUUACAUAAGUAAUAGCAUAGCAUAUGAUGAUGAAUAUAGGCUCUAAAAAACCACCUUCGAGUUCAUUGCAUUUUGGUCAAAAUCUAUGAUUUUAGUGAACAUUAUUUGUGCCAUUCAUCGUCACUUCCUUCCCAUGUUGAGAGAGCGGUUAAAAAAUUAUGUUGCUAUAUUGCAAAAAUUAUUCAGCAAUUAAAUUCUUAUAACUGAAAAUUGCUGUCAACAGGGAAAUGUGAUUAGUAUAUAACAUACAAAUAUUAUUUCUAGUUUAUCCUGCAUAAUGACGAUCACAAAGACUCAUGAUAAUAGUGCAGGGAUACAAGAGUCCUCUCUAUCUGGUAAAUGAUAGUCAUAAGGGCACACAUUAUUGACAAACUUUUCCUGUGAAGGACAUAACUCGAAAGUGGUCUAUAAUAAAAACACAAAUGUAACAAUAAUGCCCUGUCCCAGAAUAAAUGUAACAAAAACUACAAUAGCUAUUACAAUUCCUGAUCAGUGAAACAACUAUCAAAGAUCAACACAUUUAUCAAAAUAUCACACUUUUACACUAAACUUUAACUCCAAAAAAUGUAACUGUAGAACUAGUUAUAAUUAUAACAUGAAGUUAUCAGGGUUAUAAAGGUAUGGAUUAUAUUAUAUAUUACAUAUAUACAACUAAUAUACAACUAUUGUAAUUGCAAUUAAAAACAUUGUAAAAAUGAAAAUUUAAUCUACAACCAGGUGCUCCGCAGGGCGCAGCUUUAUACGACCGCAGAGGUCGAACCCUGAACAGUUGGGGCAAGUAUGGACAAAACAUUCAAGCAUGAUACAGCUCUGAAUUUGGAUUGUGAUCAAAUUUU
rnacentral:lncRNA from 1 species